rnacentral:rRNA from 1 species
ACUUUAUUUGAUUUCCUUCGGGACUGAUUAUUUUGUGACUUAGUGGCGGACGGGUGAGUAACGCGUGGGUAACCUGCCUUACACAGGGGGAUAACAGUUAGAAAUGACUGCUAAUACCGCAUAAGCCCACGGUACCGCAUGGUACUGAGGGAAAAGGAUUUAUUCGCUUUAGGAUGGACUCGCGUCCGAUUAGAUAGUUGGUGAGGUAACGGCUCACCAAGUCGACGAUCGGUAGCCGGACUGAGAGGUCGAACGGCCACAUUGGGACUGAGAUACGGCCCAGACUCC